UACGGAGGAUGCAAGCGUUAUCCGGAAUGAUUGGGCGUAAAGCGUCCGCAGGUGGCUAUGUAAGUCUGCUGUUAAAGAGUGAGGCUCAACCUCAUAAGAGCAGUGGAAACUACAUGGCUAGAGUGCGUUCGGGGCAGAGGGAAUUCCUGGUGUAGCGGUGAAAUGCGUAGAGAUCAGGAAGAACACCGGUGGUGAAAGCGCUCUGCUAGGCCGCAACUGACACUCAUGGACGAAAGCUAGGGGAGCGAAUGGG
rnacentral:rRNA from 1 species